rnacentral:rRNA from 1 species
UGGGGAAUCUUAGACAAUGGGGGGAAACCCUGAUCUAGCCAUGCCGCGUGAGCGAUGAAGGCCUUAGGGUUGUAAAGCUCUUUCAGCUGGGAAGAUAAUGACGGUACCAGCAGAAGAAGCCCCGGCUAACUCCGUGCCAGCAGCCGCGGUAAUACGGAGGGGGCUAGCGUUGUUCGGAAUUACUGGGCGUAAAGCGCACGUAGGCGGAUUAGUCAGUCAGAGGUGAAAUCCCAGGGCUCAACCCUGGAACUGCCUUUGAUACUGCUAGUCUUGAGGUCGAGAGAGGUGAGUGGAAUUCCGAGUGUAGAGGUGAAAUUCGUAGAUAUUCGGAGGAACACCAGUGGCGAAGGCGGCUCACUGGCUCGAUACUGACGCUGAGGUGCGAAAGCGUGGGGGAGCAAACAGGAUUAGAUACCCUGGUAGUCCACGCCGUAAACGAUGAAUGCCAGUCGUCGGGUUGCAUGCAAUUCGGUGACACACCUAACGGAUUAAGCAUUCCGCCUGGGGAGUACGGUCGCAAGAUUAAAACUCAAAUGAAUUGAC